AGCGGAGGAAAAGAAACCAACAGGGAUUGCCUCAGUAACGGCGAGUGAAGCGGCAAAAGCUCAAAUUUUAAAGCUGGCACCUUCGGUGUCCGCGUUGUAAUUUUGUGAGGCAUCUCCGGGUAGGGCGCCGGCCUAAGUUCCUUGGAACAGGACGUCAUAGAGGGUGAGAAUCCCGUGCUUGGCUGGCUGUCCCCGUCCAUGUGAGGUGUCUUCGACGAGUCGAGUUGUUUGGGAAUGCAGCUCAAAAUGGGUGGUAAAUUUCAUCUAAAGCUAAAUAUUGGUGGGAGACCGAUAGCGCACAAGUAGAGUGAUCGAAAGAUGAAAAGCACUUUGAAAAUAGAGUUAAAAAGUACGUGAAAUUGUUGAAAGGGAAGCGCUUGAGACCAGACUUCGGUGGGGGGUGAUCAGCUGUCCUUCUGGGCGGUGCACUUGCUCCCCUCCGGGCCAGCAUCGGUUGGGGCGGCGGGAUAAAGAUCCCGGGAAUGUGGCUCCUUUCGGGGAGUGUUAUAGCCCGGGUGAAUGCCGCCAGUUCCGACCGAGGACCGCGCCUUCGGGCUAGGAUGCUUGGCAUAAUGGUCUUCAGCGACCCGUCU
rnacentral:rRNA from 1 species